UAUUAAUUAAUGAACCGAUGAAAAAAGGUCGGUUUUAUUAUAUUUUCAAGGUAGAUACCUAUUUAACUAUUUUUAACUAACUUGUUUUCAUCUUAAUGUAAAAUAAAUUGGUGGCGGUGGGCGCUGUUAUCACUAUUUAACCAAAUAUUAUCACAGAAUAUUCAGAAAGGUAACUUUAAGCAAAUAGACGGGCUCUUAUGAGCCGCUGACAAAGGCAUACUAUUAUUGCCUUAGCGACUGGAAUCCAAACUAUAAUAGGAUUCAAAGAAAAAGCAUAAUAAUUCUAUUCCAAUUCGAUUUUUGCUUCAUCCGUCAGAAUAUAAGUCGUGUGGAUUUUUUGUAUAAAACGAUAUGUCAUUCGAUAAAAGAGGACUUCGGUGUGCGACGACCAUCUCUGAUAACGCUGUAAUUCACUGUGUGGACAGUUUGAUGGACCGUUCUCCAUACGCAAAAAGCCCUCCAAUUAGAUAAUAUCUCGUUGGACCAUCGUGAAAAUUACAGGAAAUGUCGUGAUGACUGCGAGUCCGGUCGAUCUUCACUGAAGAAGCCUAUAUUAAUCUGUACAUUUAACAGUAAAUUCGACUGAAUAAGAAUUUUAUAGUCAACUACCAACACAUGCUCUAUAUUAUUGUAAGCUUUACUUGUAUGGAUCGUCGGCUGUGGUGAAAGAACGACUGUUGAUCUUGUAACCGAUAUUAUUAUGGUUCAAAUAAUUGUCUAUUCAUUUGAUUGUUUCAUUCCGGUAGGCCGACAUCCAAUUUGCUGACCACCUUAAUCGCCGACAAUAAGUUUUAAAUAAUUACAGGAACAGAUUUGUGGUUCAACCCGGAGGGAUCACCAACGACCCCGGACCGAACAGUAGCGCUAAUUGUGGACCGAGGAAGUUUAGACAAAGAAGAAAUGAUCCUGUCAAUGGCCUCUUAGUCAAAUUUGUACAGUUAACAGUAAGACUGACCAAAUAAAAGUUGUAUGGUCGACUAUCAACACAUGGUCUAUAUGACUGUAAGCUUUGAUUAUGAGGAUCCUCGGCUGUUGUUAAAGAGCGACUGCUGAUCGGCUAUUGAUUUAGUUUCAUUCUGGUCAACUGACAUUCAAUUAGCAGAGAACGCCAAUCGUCAACAAAUACUUGUAUAUAAUUAUAGGUUUAGCAAUUUAAAUUAAAAGUUAAAAAUUUGUUUAUUAUUAUGCGUGUAGCCAGAAAAAAAUUGAUACAAACUUUUAAUGCCAAAAAAACAUUUUAAAUAUACCUGGAACACCACAUUAGAAUAAUAUUACAUUUCAAUUUAAAACAUUUUUUUUUUACUAUUCAGUACGUAAAAAAACUAAGGAGAUUCGGCCACUAUUUUUUUAUUUUUGCGCCACUUCAUUUAAAUAAUAAUAUAAAUACUUAAAAAGAAACUUAACAAUUUGUGAAAAACCCUGGCAUGAUCGAUGGAAACAUAAUUGUUUAAAUUUUAUUAUAAAGUUUAAAAAUAUUCGAUUGGAAAAUAUUAUUUUAUAAGUUACCUAAAUAUGAUUUAAAAUUUAGGGUAAUUUGUAUC